GAUGAACGCUGGCGGCGUGCCUAAUACAUGCAAGUCGAGCGAACAGACGAGGAGCUUGCUCCUCUGACGUUAGCGGCGGACGGGUGAGUAACACGUGGAUAACCUACCUAUAAGACUGGGAUAACUUCGGGAAACCGGAGCUAAUACCGGAUAAUAUAUUGAACCGCAUGGUUCAAUAGUGAAAGACGGUUUUGCUGUCACUUAUAGAUGGAUCCGCGCCGCAUUAGCUAGUUGGUAAGGUAACGGCUUACCAAGGCAACGAUGCGUAGCCGACCUGAGAGGGUGAUCGGCCACACUGGAACUGAGACACGGUCCAGACUCCUACGGGAGGCAGCAGUAGGGAAUCUUCCGCAAUGAGCGAAAGCCUGACGGAGCAACGCCGCGUGAGUGAUGAAGGUCUUCGGAUCGUAAAACUCUGUUAUUAGGGAAGAACAAAUGUGUAAGUAACUAUGCACGUCUUGACGGUACCUAAUCAGAAAGCCACGGCUAACUACGUG
rnacentral:rRNA from 1 species